CCUACGGGGAGCAGCAGUAGGGAAUCUUCCACAAUGGGCGAAAGCCUGAUGGAGCAACGCCGCGUGGGUGAAGAAGGUCUUCGGAUCGUAAAACCCUGUUGUUAGAGAAGAAAGUGCGUGAGAGUAACUGUUCACGUUUCGACGGUAUCUACCCAGAAAGCCACGGCUAACUACGUGCCAGCAGCCGCGGUAAUACGUAGGUGGCAAGCGUUAUCCGGAUUUAUUGGGCGUAAAGGGAACGCAGGCGGUCUUUUAAGUCUGAUGUGAAAGCCUUCGGCUUAACCGGAGUAGUUCAUUGGAAACUGGGAGACUUGAGUGCAGAAGAGGAGAGUGGAACUCCAUGUGUAGCGGUGAAAUGCGUAGAUAUAUGGAAGAACACCAGUGGCGAAAGCGGCUCUCUGGGCUGUAACUGACGCUGAGGUUCGAAAGCGUGGGUAGCAAACAGGAUUAGAUACCCGGGUAGUC
rnacentral:rRNA from 1 species